GCAGUAUGAGCGUUUCUUUUUUUCCUCGCUCUUUCUGUUGACGGUUGCUAUGGUUUCCCUUCCCUACUUCCGCUAGUCAUUGAGGUGGGCCGGUAUAAAACGGUGGUUUGCCCACCGUGUCCGCCUCUGCGUUUCCAUGGUCACCCGUGAUAUUUCCGGGUCAGAGGUCGUGUGCCCGACAGGUUUGUGUGCUGCUCCGUGCGCCCUGUGUGUGCGAUCGUGAUCGUUGGCCGGGGGUGAAUGCUGGCGGCUGCCUGGACUCCAAUCCUUCCUCCUCGUGAGUGUGCGUUCUGAGAAGGUGUUGUAACCACCUUAUUGGGCCGCUGCUGCUUUGUUUACUGCUGUUUACCGCGUUGUUUGGUGCUAUUUAAUGCUGCUGUCACUACGUUGUCUGACACUGCCCGCGGCGUUCUCCUGCGGCCGCCAGCAGCUCCCAGGAGAUACGCUGUGUAGGACGAUUGUUCGGCCGUACACCGCGGUCCGGGCAUAAGCUUACUUUUACUGGGGACUGAUUCCCCUUUAUGCUGAGUGAAUGAGUGUGAACGUACGGUUGUCAUAGUGUGUCUAGGUUGAGUCUGGAUUUUUGUUUAUGUAAUUCUUUUUUUUAGAGUUGUUUUGUAAAUUGUUUUUGAGUUUUGUUGUCCUUAGUUCUUUUGUUUUGGGUAGUUAUUACUCUGUUUAAGCUUGUAAUUUGCUCCUUUAUUUAUAGUUUUGUUAAGUUUUGGGUAUUCUUUCUUUUGUGUGCCAUCUCAUUAAUGUUGUUUUUCCCUCUUCAGUUGCUGAAGGCCAGUGGUGGUGGUGCUGGUGACCUGGUGGUGGGGUCCUCCUUCGUGUCUUGCUGUGUCCUGGGGAGUGGUUUUCUUCACUGAGAGUGUCUGCCACGUGUGCCUGGUGAUUUAGGUUAUUUUUGCCUUUUUUUGGUGGAUCCUGCACUAGCCAUUGCCCAUCCACUUCGGUCUCAGCUCUGAUUAGGUUUCUUUCAUUUGUUGUUUGAAUGGGUUUUAUCGGGGAUACUUUUUAAACAAAUGUUAAAUAAAAUGUGUAUAUUUAAACCUUGAACCACGUCUCUUGCCUUCCAGUAACCUCGAACCUUUGUGCCUUGCGGUUGAGUAAUUCCCUGGGUGAAAUUCCCAGGGUGGCGUCGUCGGCAGGAUGUUACUGUAGAAGUAAGGCAAAAGACGUGUGUUCUAUUCUUCUUUUUUUUCUUUUUUGGCAUUAAUACAAAGCAGCAGCGGUUCCUUAUUAAAAUCGGCACUCAUGGAGGAGGAAUUGCAAGAGUUGCGAGAUCUGGUUGCACAGUUGAAAGCUGACAAUGAGAGGCUACGUCAAGAGCAGGCCCCUGUUG